UACAGAGGGUGCAAGCGUUGUUCGGAAUUACUGGGCGUAAAGCGUGCGUAGACGGUAGCGUAAGUCAGAUGUGAAAGCCCCGGGCUCAACCUGGGAAUUGCAUUUGAGACUGCUCUGCUCGGGUGCGGAAGAGGGAAGCGGAAUUUCCGGUGUAGCGGUGAAAUGCGUAGAUAUCGGAAGGAACACCAGUGGCGAAAGCGGCUUCCUGGUCCGACACCGACGUUCAGGCACGAAAGCGUGGGGAGCAAACAGG
rnacentral:rRNA from 1 species